rnacentral:lncRNA from 1 species
UCCGAUUCAUCUGAAAAUUUCAGGCAGAUAGAUCUUCACCUGUUUAACAAUUCUACCACAUGUCAGAUUUGCUCUAAAUGCUUUGGUUUUUGAGUUAUAAGCCAAAAACUGUAUUUUACCCCUAUGUUCUAUUUUUAGCCAUGGCGGCCAUCUUGGAUGGUUGGCCGGGUCACCGGACACAUUUUUUAAACUAGAUACCCCAAUGAUGAUUGUUGUCAAGUUUGGUUAAAUUUGGCCCAGUAGUUUCAGAAGAGAAGAUUUUUGUAAAAGUUAACGACGACGACGGACGACGACGC